GCCGGCUUAGCUCAGUUGGUAGAGCAACUGAAGCGUAAUCAGUGGGUCGAGGGUUAAACUCCUUUAGCCAGCA
rfam:Alkalibacterium sp. AK22 ATG3_contig_13, whole genome shotgun sequence.